GAUGAACGCUAGCGGCAGGCUUAAUACAUGCAAGUCGAGGGACAGCACAGGUAGCAAUACUGGGUGGUAACCGGCAAACGGGUGCGGAACACGUACACAACCUUCCUUUAAGUGGGGGAUAGCCCAGAGAAAUUUGGAUUAAUACCCCGUAAUAUAGUUGAAUGGCAUCAUUUGAUUAUUAUAGCUACGGCGCUUAAUGAUGGGUGUGCGGCUGAUUAGAUAGUUGGCGGGGUAACGGCCCACCAAGUCUACGAUCAGUAGCUGAUGUGAGAGCAUGAUCAGCCACACGGGCACUGAGACACGGGCCCGACUCCUACGGGAGGCAGCAGUAAGAAAUAUUGGUCAAUGGACGCAAGUCUGAACCAGCCAUGCCGCGUGAAGGAUUAAGGUCCUCUGGAUUGUAAACUUCUUUUAUUUGGGACGAAAAAGGGCCUUUCUAAGUCAACUGACGGUACCAGAUGAAUAAGCACCGGCUAACUCCGUGCCGGCCGCCGCGGUAACAC
rnacentral:rRNA from 1 species